rnacentral:rRNA from 1 species
GAGUUUGAUCCUGGCUCAGAACGAACGCUGGCGGCGUGGAUUAGGCAUGCAAGUCGAACGGUCUUUCUAGCUUUUUCGGAAAGGCAGUGGCGAAAGGGUGAGUAACACGUGACUAACCUGCCCUCGAGUUCGAGAUAACCCCGCGAAAGACGGGGCGUAAUACCGGAUACGUCUUUAGUCUUCUCAUGAAGUUAAAGGGAAAGAUGGGGACCGUCUUCGGAGGCCUGUCACUCUUGGAUGGGGUCGGCGGCCGUAUCAGCUAGUUGGUGAGGUAAUGGCUCACCAAGGCUAAGACGGGUAGCUGGUCUAAGAGGAUGGUCAGCCACACUGGGACUGAGACACGGCCCAGACUCCUACGGGAGGCAGCAGUGGGGAAUUUUGGACAAUGGGCGCAAGCCUGAUCCAGCCAUUCCGCGUGCAGGAUGAAGGCCCUCGGGUUGUAAACUGCUUUUGUACGGAACGAAACGGCCUUUUCUAAUACAAGAGGCUAAUGACGGUACCGUAAGAAUAAGCACCGGCUAACUACGUGCCAGCCGCCGCAGUAAU